rnacentral:rRNA from 1 species
CAUAGCGACUAUCGUGGCAUAUCAAUAAGCGGAGGAAAAGAAACUAACUAGGAUUCCCUCAGUAACGGCGAGUGAAGCGGGAAGAGCUCAAAUUUGAAAUCUUCAAGGUUCUACCUUGACGAAUUGUAGUUUAAAGAAGUGUUUUCUGUUGGAGUUUUGGUAAAAGUUCUUUGGAAUAGGACAUCAUAGAGGGUGAGAAUCCCGUAUUUGACCAUUAUUUCCAGCUGUGUGAUACACUUUCAAAGAGUCGGAUUGUUUGGGAAUGCAGUCCAAAAUGGGUGGUAAAUUUCAUCUAAAGCUAAAUAUUGGCGAGAGACCGAUAGCGAACAAGUACCGUGAGGGAAAGAUGAAAAGAACUUUGAAAAGAGAGUUAAACAGUACGUGAAAUUGUCAAAAGGGAAGCGUUUGACACCAGUGUUGUUUAGUUGAAAAUCAAUUCAAUAAUUUUUGAUUUUGAGUAGUAUUGACUUCAUCAGCUUGCUGCUCUCUUUUCCGAAAUUAUUGAAUGCACUUUUCAGUUAACAAGUCAACAUCAAUUUCUUUUGUUGUAAAAGGGUAAGAGGAAGGUGGCUUACGUUUCGGCGUAAGUGUUUAUAGCCUUUUACCUCUGCAAUCGGAGAGAUUGAGGACAGCAGCGUAGACUCCUUCGGGGUUAGAUACACUUGUGCUAAGCUAUAGCCUUGUAUAGACAACUUGUUGACUAUGCUCAGUCAUGUAGCUUACUCGCUUGUGCUAUUUUACCUACGCUUAGGAUGUUGAUAGUCACAGCGUGUAC